GCCGGGCACAGUGGCUCAUGCCUGUAAUCCCAGCACUUUGGGAGGCCAAGGUGGGUGGAUCACCCGAAGUCAGAAGUUCAAGACCAGCCUGGCCAACAUGAUGAAACCCCAUCUAUUUUUUUUUUUCUUUCAAGAUGGGGUUGCACCAUGUUGGCCAGGCUGGUCUUGAACUCCUGACUUCAGGUGAUCCACCCACCUC
rnacentral:sRNA from 1 species